UCGCCCCAUUGUCAGCCAUUCAUUAAUCUAAUCAAAUGGCUGUGGAGCCAUUUCAGGCAUUAAAUAAAAGUAUCUGAAUUAAUUCAAACCCUAAAAAGAUUAGCCAUCUUCCUCGUACCCCUUUUAUGGUCCAUUGUGUCUCUGCGGGCCGAAAAUCGUCUUCGCAGGAGGUGGAGCACCAAACGACCCCAAGAUUUUGGCACAAGCUCCCUUUCCCCUCCUUUUUCCAGCACCCAACUUAGUUUUUCUCGAAUCUCAUCCAAUCGGUUUGAAUCCCAAUCGAACUUUUCCGGCCAUCCUAAUAUAAUCAUUGUUCUAUUAGAAAAGGUGUCUAGGCUAAUUGAUGAUUUUAGUAAUUGUUUUCUUCCCUGUUAUCAUAAUUUUUUAAUUUCUUAUUAAAUUAUUUUUUACUGAUAUUUCUCUAGUUCAAUAUCGUUUUGAUUGUGAUUGGUUGUUUGUGUUAGUUUUUAGCAUAAUGUUAUAUCGAAUAUUGUUUGUUAACUGACAGAAUAAUAAGAGUAUGGGUAGCGAUUACAUUGUUACCAUUAAAAUUUAUAUUUUUGUUAGUUGACCAUGGUUUAAUUAGGGUUGAGGUAGGUUAGUUAUUUCAGGAAUAAAGCAGGGGUGAUUGAAGCAAUUCAAGGGUAGAGGAUCUUUUAAAACUGAACUAGAAUUCUCUAGAAUCCUCUAGAGUGGGUUUAAUUUUGAAUCUUAGGAAAACAUAGUGGGUUUACUUGUGUAACAAGUUUUAAAAUAAAGGACCAAGGUUCAAAAUAUAUAUGAACUAACAAAGAAAAACUGAAAAUCUGAUAGGCCUCACUUGUGCCUAUAAAAGGGCAUGAUCUUUAAUUCAUUCACAAGUUUUUCAACUUCACCAUUCCCCCAGAAACACUUCCCUUCAGAUCUAGUUUAGAUUUUGAUUUUCAAAUUACUAGUAGUUUAUAAUUCUCUUUAGAUCUGAAAUUUUUCCCAGAAAAAUACAAAAACAAAUAGAAAAUACAGAAAUAACCAAAAAACAGUACGAUUCCAUCGAGUAUUAGGCUAAUUUUGAGUUUUUCAGUAAAUACAACGUAUUUUCUAGUUUGAGCUUUUGAGUAAUGUUGGGUUUUUAAAAGGGCCUGGGUAAUUUUCUAGUGGAUUUUGGUAGUAUCAAGCUGGAAUUUGGCUGUUUUCACUGGUUGUUUCUUCUAUUAUUCGUUGCAGGGUAGCUGUGGUGUUUUGAGUUAUAACUUGGCUCAACUCUGUAGAUUUCAACUAUUGCUCGACUGUUUUUCCUGCUGAAUUCUCUUUCUCUUAUUUCAUUUCAAAUCCGGGUAUAUCUCAUGCUCAAAUGAUGCUGAAGAGCACCCUUACCUAUAGAAAAAAGUUUGAAGUAUGGAUGACCAAAACAUGCAUGCUUAUAUCUGAAUUUUCACGUUUAUUUGCCUAGUUUUAAAUUUUUUGUGAUGAUUCAUUCGAACUAGAGUUUCAGUUGUAUUAAUGACCAAACAUGUAUUAAUGUUAAAUAGGACUGUUUAUAUUGAUUAGGUUUGUUUGAGCUUAUUGAAUUGAGAAGAGGCUUCAUGCUAGGUUGAUAAGCUAGCUCAUAUUUGUUUAAUUAAUGUUUGUUAGUUAUUUCGUUUAUCUGUUAAUUGGCUCAUGUUAAUUACUCCAUAUUUGUUUAAAAGUAACAUUCUGAAGAUUGGCAUUCCAUGAUUAGCGUUAGGCAUUAUUUUAAUUUGAACAUCGUUUCUAGGCUCGAACGUAGGCCCAAUGCAAACAGCCGGGCAUGUUGUCCUUUUAAUUCCACCAUUUCAAGGCCCAGACAACCAUACUCAGCCAUACGGCUGAAAUACCUUACCAACACCCCGGGCCUGGACCCUUCGCCACAGGCCCAAAUUGUCUCAUCCCUUUGUAUGUGUGAUCGAGGCUGCUUUUUCCUACUAGAUUGUUAGGCCUAAGUGAUUCGUUUACAUGAACUUGGCCCUUUCAAAUAUAUUACUUAAUUAGAUUUCUCUUUCUUAUAUUAUAUUAUAAAGACAAUUUAAUAGAAAAUAUAGUUCACUUUAGGAUGUCCUUAAAUCAAAUGAGACGAGUCUUGCCAAAUAAAACGCAUAAAUUAUGGGGCCCUCAAUAAAUGGUUACAAUAAAAUACAUAGAAUUCGAGAUGAGCCGUUUAACGAAUUUCACGGUUUUUUUUCGAAAAUAAUAACGCGUUAGUCACUUUAGGCGCGAUUUUAACAUUCUUAAACUCGAAUGCGCAUUUAUGUGACCCAAAUUGAAAUCUCACCGGAGUCGAAAUGUGUCGACAACCACGGGUGCAUUGAUGUGACGUGGUUUGAAACGCAUUUUCACAACGUUGCAAUUCUCCUUAAAGUAAUCAUGAUAAAAGCGGUUAAAAAGGUCACAUAAGCUUAAACAUGUUUUGAAAUCAGAUAAAUUCAAAUACAAUAGUUGAGCGACCGUCCUGGAACCAUGGAACCCGAAAAUGAAUAACAAUUUCUCCUGGGUUAACAGAAUUUCUUACUCGGAUUUUUGGUUCGCGGACUGAUAACAGAGUCAUAUUUUUCUCGGUUCGGAAUUCAACCGGUGACUUGAGACACCAUUAAUCUCCUAAGUGACGACUCUGAACUUUAAUAAUUAAAUCCCGUUCCGAUUGUCUUUUAAGUGAAAAAACUCCUUUAUGCCCUAACGGGUAUAGUAGAAAAGGAGGUGUGACACAUGGUCUAAACUUGCAUUGACUAAUUCUAAUGGGCAGAUCACGAGAAUUGAUAAUCUGCCCUAACCGAACUCUAGCGAUGAGCCUCAUAUUGGGCAUGAGUUUAUUGUAUUGAACUCUCAAUUUCCCUAACGACACGAGGCCAUGGCGAGUUUGUUGUAGUGCCAAGGCAAGUCAUCCAGCAGCAAGGCUACUGCAAGGAGCACCUGAUGCUUCACUUUCUUUCCUUUUCUCAACUAUAUCCUCCAUAUCCGUUGCCAAAAGUUGCAUGUUUAACUAUGCAUUUAACACUAUAUAAGUAUAACGCUCAUCUUAGAUUUAAUCAACUUACAAAUUUUUGCAGGGCGAUAUACUUAUAUGAUGUAAAUAUCCUUCUGUCCCAUUCUACGUAAUCACAUUCCUUUUUGUCUGUCUAAAAAUGGACACCUUUCGAUAUAUAAAUAAUUGUGCUUCUCAUUUAACUCUCAAUGACAUCGUUGAUUAGCAAAAAAAAAAAAAAAUCUCGUGAGCAUGUUUAAAACCAAGAUUUUUAAAAAUAACGUAACGAUCCGACCGGUCGUUUCGAGCUUUUGCACUUUGAUCACCAGCUUUUGAACUUGUUGCCAUGUGUAAUGUGCUAUGACUGAUGUAGAUCAUUGGUUUUGGUUUUCAAGGAAAUUUGAACGAAUUUGGAAGAACAUUCCUCAGCUUGUUGUUUAAAUUUUAAAGGUUUGACCAAGAUUUAACUUAUUUGUAUAUGAGCUCGGAUCGGAGUUUUUAUGAUCUGGUUAGCUCUAUUGGGUUAUUUGGGACUUAGGAGUGUGAUCAGCAUGGAUUUUGGAAGCCCAAAGUAGAAUUAGGCUUGAAUUGGCGAAAUUAAUAUUUCAAUAUUUACCAGUUGAUAAGUGAAAUUUUGAUAUAGAGGUCGGAAUAAAAUUCCGAGAGUUGCAGUAGCUUUUUUGUAUCAUUUGUGAUGUGUGUGCAAAAUUUCAGGUCAUUCGGACGUGGCUUGGUUGGGUUUUUUUAUCAAAUGCGUGUUACGGAAGAAUUUAGAAACUUAUGCUUGCUUUGGGUAAUUCGAUGUUGUUUAUGGUGUUUUGAUGAUUGGAACAAGUUCGAAUAAGGUAUUGGGUCAUGUUUGUGCUUUCGAUUGAGGCCUUGGGGGCCUUCGGAUGAUUUUGGGUGGUUAACGAAAAAGUUGAGGUGUAAUUGCAGCUUCAGAUUUUGCUGCUUCUUGUAUUUCCUCACCUGCGGUUUGGGGAUCGUAGGUGCGACGUCGCAUAUGCGUGGUUUUGGCAGCAGAAGCGGGAGAGGAGGAGAUGGUCUGAGAUCGCAGAAAUGGUCAGGUUAGCUACAUUUGCGGAGUCGCAGAUGCGGAUGUUGUUAGAUGCGGGGCCUGAUCCCUUAUGUGAUUUCCGCAGAAGCGGACGUGUGACCACAAAUGUGGUACCACAGAAGCGGUGGAGGGGUCGCACAUUCGAAAACCCCUAGGCAGAAUGUAUAUAUAUCCUUUCUUUGCGAUUUUUGAAGCGUUUAGCCAUUUUAACUUCGGAUUCAGAGCUUUUGGGCGAUUUUGAAGGUAGAUUUCAAGAGAACUUCGAUAAGGUAAAGAUAUUGGACCUAAAACACACUACUAUGUUAAUAUUUCAUGGAUUAUGACUGAAAUCUAAGGAAUUAAAGGACUAAAAAUAGAGGUUUAUUGCUUUAGUUUAAGAGGGCUUAAAUUAAGGAUU
rnacentral:lncRNA from 1 species